UCUGUGGUACUAUACCUCAGUAUUAUCAGGUGUUCAUUAAAAUCACCUGAAAAUACUGAGGCUAUGUUUCACUGAGCA
ensembl:miRNA Mir875 microRNA 875